rnacentral:misc_RNA from 1 species
AGGAAACGAUCCUGGCCUUCAAAAUUUCUUGUGAACCAGCUUCUCAUAUAAGUCCCUGGUCCUUAAUGGUUUAACUAUAGUAUAUCUUUCUUGUAGGAUUGUGGAAUCAGAAAACAAUUUUAAGAGUUUAGUACUUAUCCAUGCUAUUAAACUAGGCACAUUUAAGUGCAAAGGACACUUGGGAGGCAAGGUGGUACAAAAGCCCAUGAAUACACACUGAUAAUGGAAUCCACAAACACCCAAUGAUGGACGGUCAAAAUAAGGUUUACAUGUUGUUUCAGAUGUAAUUGGAGGCAAAGAAGGCACAAGGUGCAUUCUAUAGGUCUAUAACAAGAUGAAGUUAGGUAUGCAUCUUAGAAAUUAAAAACGUAAUAUAGAUUGUUAUUCUGAUGCUUACAUUGUAAUAAUGAAAGUCUAAAUUCCACUUUACAACAUAAGAAGGUAGGACAUUAAGGUUAAGGACUAUAGAUAUAGUCCCUUAACUAGUUUGCAUAAGAUCCUUGCCAAUGUAUUAUGCAAUGAUUGGGUAUUGCAUUGGAGAGGAUGUUAUCUCUUCUACUCAAAAUGCUUCCACUGAUGGAAGCUUAAGGAGGAAAUGGAUCAGCCUUGCAUAUUAUCUCUCAUCAAAUCAUUUCCUCUUUUGCUUCUUUAGCAAAAUGAUCCUUAGUCAAUAGAAAAUGGGAAGCUUAUUAUUGAAAAAUGUAUAAAUUA